ACGGAAGGCAGCAGUGGGGAAUAUUGCACUAUGGGCGCAAGCCUGAUGCAGCAACGCCGCGUGAGGGAAGACGGUCUUCGGAUUGUAAACCUUUGACUUUGGCGAAGAAGAAAGUGACGGUAGACAAGGAGGAAGCCACGGCUAACUACGUGCCAGCAGCCGCGGUAAUACGUAGGUGGCAAGCGUUGUCCGGAUUUACUGGGUGUAAAGGGAGCGCAGGCGGGACAGCAAGUUGGAUGUGAAAUACCGAGGCUUAACCACGGAGCUGCAUCCAAAACUGUUGUUCUUGAGUGAAGUAGAGGUAGGCGGAAUUCCGAGUGUAGCGGUGAAAUGCGUAGAUAUUCGGAGGAACACCAGUGGCGAAGGCGGCCUACUGGGCUUUAACUGACGCUGAGGCUCGAAAGUGUGGGGAGCAAACAGGAUUAGAUACCCUGGUA
rnacentral:rRNA from 1 species